CUGGCUUAGAUAGGGAUUCCUGUCGUACUAGGGGUGUGGCGUGCUGGUCGCCGUUGUCGUGGUCGAGGUGCGGUUGCUCGGAGCCGGC
rnacentral:tRNA from 2 species